GAUGAACGCUGGCGGCGUGCCUAAUACAUGCAAGUCGAGCGAACUGAUUAGAAGCUUGCUUCUAUGACGUUAGCGGCGGACGGGUGAGUAACACGUGGGCAACCUGCCUGUAAGACUGGGAUAACUUCGGGAAACCGAAGCUAAUACCGGAUAGGAUCUUCUCCUUCAUGGGAGAUGAUUGAAAGAUGGUUUCGGCUAUCACUUACAGAUGGGCCCGCGGUGCAUUAGCUAGUUGGUGAGGUAACGGCUCACCAAGGCAACGAUGCAUAGCCGACCGGAGAGGGGGAUCGGCCACACAGGGACUGAGACACGGCCCAGACUCCUACGGGAGGCAGCAGUAGGGAAUCUUCCGCAAUGGACGAAAGUCUGACGGAGCAACGCCGCGUGAGUGAUGAAGGCUUUCGGGUCGUAAAACUCUGUUGUUAGGGAAGAACAAGUACAAGAGUAACUGCUUGUACCUUGACGGUACCUAACCAGAAAGCCACGGCUAACUACGUGCCAGCCGCCGCAGUAACAC
rnacentral:rRNA from 1 species